AGAACGAACGCUGGCGGCAUGCCUAAUACACGCAAGUCGAACGAACACUUCGGUGUUAGUGGCGCACGGGUGCGUAACGCGUGGGAAUCUGCCCUUGGGUUCGGAAUAACAGUUGGAAACGACUGCUAAUACCGGAUGAUAUCGAAAGAUCAAAGAUUUGUCGCCCAGGGAUGAGCCCGCGUAGGAUUAGCUAGUUGGUGAGGUAAAGGCUCACCAAGGCGACGAUCCUUAGCUGGUCUGAGAGGAUGAUCAGCCACACUGGGACUGAGACACGGCCCAGACUCCGUAGGGAGGCAGCAGUAGGGAAUAUU
rnacentral:rRNA from 1 species